GGUGCUAAUACCGGAUAAGAAAGCGGAUCGCAUGAUCAGCUUUUAAAAGGCGGCGUAAGCUGUCGCUAUGGGAUGGCCCCGCGGUGCAUUAGCUAGUUGGUAAGGUAAAGGCUUACCAAGGCGAUGAUGCAUAGCCGAGUUGAGAGACUGAUCGGCCACAUUGGGACUGAGACACGGCCCAAACUCCUACGGGAGGCAGCAGGU
rnacentral:rRNA from 1 species